AUGGUCCUGAUUUUCCUGGCAGCCCUGGUGGCACUCACAGACUUUGGUCAUGCCCAAAAGGACUCUGUGCUCCAGUUCCCAGCAGAAAUGACCAUCCAGGUGGGACACAACACAACAUUGCACUGCAAUUUCUCCACCAGCUAUUCCAAUCCUUACAUCUUCUGGUACCAGCAGAGGCAGACCCAGUCCCCUCAGAUGCUGCUGCGGGUGGACAAAUGGAAACCUCAGAUGGAUUCAGGGAGGUUCUCCUCUGUGCUGUCUGCAGAAGACUCCCAGGUGCUUCUACAUGUGCAGGAUGCUGAGCUCCAGGACAGCGCUGCCUAUUUCUGUGCACUGAGCCCACCCUGGUACCCACAGCUUGCCGCACUGUACAGAAAGGUGUUGGGUGCUCUGAGGAGCAGUUCCCUUCCUGCCACUGCUUGCAUGUAG